rnacentral:rRNA from 1 species
ACGCUGGCGGCAUGCCUUACACAUGCAAGUCGAACGGCAGCACGGAGCUUGCUCUGGUGGCGAGUGGCGAACGGGUGAGUAAUAUAUCGGAACGUACCCUAGAGUGGGGGAUAACGUAGCGAAAGUUACGCUAAUACCGCAUACGAUCUACGGAUGAAAGUGGGGGAUCGCAAGACCUCAUGCUCGUGGAGCGGCCGAUAUCUGAUUAGCUAGUUGGUAGGGUAAAAGCCUACCAAGGCAUCGAUCAGUAGCUGGUCUGAGAGGACGACCAGCCACACUGGAACUGAGACACGGUCCAGACUCCUACGGGAGGCAGCAGUGGGGAAUUUUGGACAAUGGGCGAAAGCCUGAUCCAGCAAUGCCGCGUGAGUGAAGAAGGCCUUCGGGUUGUAAAGCUCUUUUGUCAGGGAAGAAACGGUGAGGGCUAAUAUCCCUUGCUAAUGACGGUACCUGAAGAAUAAGCACCGGCUAACUACGUGCCAGCAGCCGCGGUAAUACGUAGGGUGCAAGCGUUAAUCGGAAUUACUGGGCGUAAAGCGUGCGCAGGCGGUUUUGUAAGUCCGAUGUGAAAUCCCCGGGCUCAACCUGGGAAUUGCAUUGGAGACUGCAAGGCUAGAAUCUGGCAGAGGGGGGUAGAAUUCCACGUGUAGCAGUGAAAUGCGUAGAUAUGUGGAGGAACACCGAUGGCGAAGGCAGCCCCCUGGGUCAAGAUUGACGCUCAUGCACGAAAGCGUGGGGAGCAAAC